GCUGGGCGUGGUGGCGCACGCCUGUAAUCCCAGCUACUCAGGAGGCUGAGGCAGGAGAAUUGCUUGAACCCAGGAGGCGGAGGUUGCGGUGAGCCGAGAUCGUGCCAUUGCACUCCAGCCUGGGUAACAAGAGCGAAACUCUGUCUCAA
rnacentral:sRNA from 13 species